CUGCCAGAAGGGUGUUGUUGGAGAGCAGGCUGGGUUUCUGCCAGGGACGUGACCUGCGUGUGACGCAGGAAUGCACCUGCAUGUCUUGGCUCACCUGGAGACAGCAUCAGCUGACAUUCCUGAUGGCAUGGAGAGCAGGAAGGAUGCUCAGGGCCUUCUAUCAUCACUUUGGGAUUCCUCCAGGUGACCGGCCCGAUGCCCAGCUCAGAGAGAAGAGACUUUCUGCUUUCAACCUGAGAGCAGAACCCUCAUCUGCAGUGGAGACCUGGAAGCAGGAUGGCACAGAAGACCCGGAAUGAGCCAGUGCGGUUAACAAGAGGAAGCACAUGAAUUGGAAAGCUCAGUGAGCUCUUGUUUAGAUAAUAGGAUCCAUAUAUCACUAGUGAUAUGUUCCUUGAUUCUCUUGUGAUCCAUAGAUUCCUUCUCCCUCUCUUCCUUUCCUCCGUCCCUCUCUCUGUUGGCAUUUUAUUUGUAGAAAAAAGUGUAGAAUUUCUUACAGCCUGGAUUUUGCAGAUUGUCUCAUUGUGGUGUCAUUUGACAUAUUUUUCUGCUGCCCUUUUAUGUCCUGUAAUUUGUUGAUUAGAUCAAGAGGCUUAGACUCAAGUUUUUUUUUUUUUUUUUUCCCCAGGAUUACUCAUAGGUGAUGUCGUGUACAGCCAUAUAGAUGGACAGGAUGUCUGGUUUUCUUAUUUUUUUUUUUUCAAAAAGAUGUCAGCAGUCAUUGGUGAUCAUUACCUAAGGGUGUUUUUGUUUGUUUGUUUGUGUUUGAGAUGGAGUCUUGCUCUGUCGCCCAGGCUGGAGUGCAGGGGCGCGAUCUUGGCUCACUGCAAGCUCCGCCUCUUGGAUUCACGCCAUUGUCCCGAGUAGCUGGGACUACAGGCGCCUGCCAACACACCCGGCUAAUUUUUUGUAUUUUUAGUAGAGACGGGGUUUCACCGUGUUAGCCAGGAUUGUCUCGAUCUCCUGACCUCGUGAUCCACCCGUCUUGGCCUCCCAAAGUGCUGGGAUUACAGGCGUGAGAAAAAAAAAGUUUUUUAGAGAUGAUGUCUUGCCAUGUUGCCCAGGCUGGUCUUGAACUGGGCUCAAUCGAUCCUCCCACCGUAGGCUCCCAAAGUGCUGGAAUUACAGGUGUGAACCACCAAGCCCAGCUAGAGCACUCAUUUAGGAGUCUAGUUUUCUGACUCCUUCGGAGUCACAUGGAUUUUUUUAAUGAGAAAUAAUCAUUGGUGAUUUUUUUUUUUUUUUGAGAUAGUCUCACUCUGUUGCCCAGGCUGUGGAUUAGUGGCAUGAUCUUGGCUCACUGCAACUUCCACCUUCUGAGUUCGAGCAAUCCUUCUGCCUCAGCCUCCCAAGUAGCUAGCACUACAGACAGGUGUGCACCACCACACCUGGCAAAUUUUUUUUUUUUUUUUUUUGGAGACAGAGUCUUGCUCUCUUGCCAGGCUGGAGUGCAGUGGUGUGAUCUUGGCUCACUGCAACCUCUGCCUCCUGGGUUCAAGCGAUUCUCCUGUCUCAGCCUCCUGAAUAGCUGGGACUACAGGUGCGCACCACCACACCCAGCUAAUUUUUGCAUUUUUAGUAGAGACGGGGUUUCACCGUGUUGGCCAGGGUGGUCUUGAUCUCUUGACCUCAGGAUCCACCUGCCUCGGCCUCCCAAAGUGCUGGAUUACAGGCAUGAGCCACUACUUCCGACAAAUUUUUGUAUUUUUUAGUAGAGACAGGGUUUCACCAUGUUGCCCAGGCUGGUCUUGAACUCCUGGCCUCAAGUGAUCCACCCACCUCAGCCUUCCAAAAUGCUGGGAUUACAGAUAUGAGCCACCACGUUCGGCUUUAUCAGUAAUUUUUAGAGCACUUUUAUUUUGGGAGCUCUAUUACAGCAGUUUUAUCCAUGUCCUAAAUAAUAUAGUUGCAUACGUUCUUAGCUCUCAUUUUGUAAUUAGAGUUGGAAUAUUCCCCUUCCCAUUCAUUUUACAGGAGUUUUCAUGUUAUCUUGAUAUUAGAAGAUGAUAGCUGUAAGAGUUUUAUUUUCUCUCUUACUAGGGAAGAUAGGAAAAAUAAUAAAGAUUUUAUCUUUGGAAAAAUAAACAAGUGAUAGACAAAUCUCUGGUGACACUAAUCAAUAUAAAAGAGAAAUUAUUGGAAAACUCUCUAAAAAUAGAUAUAGGAAUUUAAUUUUUUUUGCUACUGUUUCAUAGCAACCAUGAAUUUAUUGGGAAGGAAAACAUUUUCAACCAUUUAUUAUUACUUUUUCUUUUCUUUUUUUUUUUUUUGAGAGGGAGUCUCAAUUUGUUGCCCAAGCUAGAGUGCAGUGGCGCUGUCUCUCCUUACUGCAAACUCUGCCUCCUGGGUUCAAGCAAUUCUCCUGCCUCAGCUUUCCUAGUAGCUGGGAUUACAGAUGCCUGCCACCACACCCAGCUAAUUUUUGUAUUUUAGUAGAGACAGGGUUUCACCAUGUUGGCCAGGCUGGUCUUGAACUCCUGACCUUGUGGUCCGCCCGCCUUGGCCUCUCAAAGUGCUGGGAUUACAGGCAUGAGCCCCCUCCCCCAGCCUAUUAUUACUUUUUUUUUUUUUGAGACAGGGUCUCGCUCUGCUGGUCAGGUUGGAGUGCAGUGGUGUGAUCAUAGCUCACUGCAGCCUCAAGCUCCCAGGUUCACGCGAUCCUCCUACCUUGGCCUCCCAAAGUGCUGGGAUUACAGGUGGGAGCCACUGUACUAGCCUUUGUACCAUAAUAAAAUAAAGUCAGCCCUUCAUAUUUGGAGGGGAUUGGUUCCAGGACACAACCCCUUUGUAUUAGUUCAUUCUCAUACUGCUAUGAAGAACUACCUGAGACUGGGUAAUUUAUAAAGAAAAGAGGUCUAAUUGACUCACAGUUCUGCAGCCUGUACAGGAAGCGUGGCUGGGGAGGCCUCAGGAAACUGACAGUCAUGGCGGAAGGCAAAGGGGAAGCAGGAAUGUCUUACAUGGCCAGAGCAGGAGGAAGAGAGAGAAAGACGGGAGGUGCUGCACACUUUUAAACAACCAGCUCUCAUGAUAAGUCACUCACUCUCACGAGUACAGCACGAAAGGGGAAACCUACCCCCAUGAUCCAAUCGCCUCCCACCAGACCCACCUCCAACACUGGGGAUUAUAAUUUUUUUUUUUUUUUUUUUUCCUGAGAUGGAGUCUUGCUUUGUUGCCCAGGCUGGAGUGCAGUGGUGCAAUCUCAGCUCACUGCAGCCUCUGCCUCCCGGCUUCAAGCAGUUCUCCUGCCUCAGCCUCCCAAGUAGCUUGGAUUACAGGCAUGUACCACCAUGUCCGGCUAAUCUUUGUUUUUUUAGUAGAGACGGAGUUUCAUCAUGUUGGCCAGGGUGGUCUCGAACUCCUGACCUCAGGUGAUCCACCUGCCUCGGCCUCCCAAAGUGCUGGGAUUACAGGUGUGAGCCAGCGCGGCCAGCCGGGGAUUAUAAUUUAACAUGAAAUUUGGGCGGGGACACAGACCCAAACCAUAUCACCCUCAUACCCAAAUCUGCCAUACUCAAAUCCCACAGUUGGCCUUGCGGAACUGUGUAUAUGAAAAGUUGGGCUUGUAUUUAUUUGAGUUUCACAUCCCUCAAAUACUGUAUUUUCUAUUUGUGUUUGGUUGAAGAAAAAAAAACCUGCAUAUAAGUGGACCUUCGAAGUUCAAACCCAUGGUGUUUGAGGGUCUACAUAGUGUAUUUUUUCCCCACUGAUCUAAAAUACAAAUUUGUAGAGAAAUCUUGAAAAAGUAAUAGGCAUAACAAAUAUCUGAGUUAAAAACAUGUCCUGAUUAAAGGACAAUCUGGAAGAAAAUAUGUAUAACCAAAAUGAC
rnacentral:lncRNA from 1 species